rnacentral:tRNA from 1 species
GCGGGGGUGGCAGAGCUUGGUCAAAUGCGACAGGUUCAGGGCCUGUUACCCUAGUGGUUGCGUGAGUUCAAAUCUCACCCCCCGCA